rnacentral:rRNA from 1 species
AUACGGAGGGGGUUAGCGUUGUUCGGAAUUACUGGGCGUAAAGCGCACGUAGGCGGACCGGAAAGUAAGAGGUGAAAUCCCAGGGCUCAACCCUGGAACUGCCUUUUAAACUAUCGGUCUAGAGUUCGAGAGAGGUGAGUGGAAUUCCUAGUGUAGAGGUGAAAGUCGUAGAUAUUAGGAGGAACACCAGUGGCGAAGGCGGCUCACUGGCUCGAUACUGACGCUGAGGUGCGAAAGCGUGGGGAGCAAACAGGAUUAGAAACCCUUGUAGUCC